CCUACGGGUGGCAGCAGUGAGGAAUAUUGGUCAAUGGACGAGAGUCUGAACCAGCCAAGUAGCGUGAAGGAUGACUGCUCUCUGGGUUGUAAACUUCUUUUAUAUGGGAAUAAAAUGUUCCACGUGUGGGAUUUUGUAUGUACUAUCUGCAUAAGGAUCGGCUAACUACGUGCAAGCAGCCGCGGUAAUACGGAGGGUCCGAGCGUUAUCCGGAUUUUUUGGGUUUAAGGGGAGCGUAGGUGGAUUGUUAAGUCAGUUGUGAAAGUUUGCGGCUCAACCGUAAAAUUGCAGUUGAAACUGGCAGUCUGGAGUACAGUAGAGGUGAGCGGAAUUCGUGGUGUAGCGGUGAAAUGCUUAGAUAUCACGAAGAACUCCGAUUGCGAAGGCAGCUCACUGGACUGCAACUGACACUGAGGCUCGAAAGUGUGGGUAUCAAACAGGAUUAGAUACCCGGGUAGUC
rnacentral:rRNA from 1 species